rnacentral:rRNA from 1 species
UACGUAGGGACCGAGCGUUGUCCGGAAUCAUUGGGCGUAAAGCGCGCGUAGGUGGCUUCGUAAGUCCGCUGUGAAAGUCAAAGGCUCAACCUUUGAAAGCCGGUGGAUACUGUGGAGCUAGAGUCCGGAAGAGGCGAGUGGAAUUCCUGGUGUAGCGGUGGAAUGCGCAGAUAUCAGGAGGAACACCAAUAGCGAAGGCAGCUCGCUGGGACGGUACUGACACUAAGGCGCGAAAGCGUGGGGAGCGAACAGG